GCCUUCGGGGUUGUAAAGUACUUCCUUUCAGCAGUGAGGAAGGUGGAGUCGUUAAUAGCGGCCUCAUUUGACGUUAGCUGCAGAAGAAGCACCGGCUAACUCCGUGCCAGCAGCCGCGGUAAUACGGAGGGUGCGAGCGUUAAUCGGAAUUACUGGGCGUAAAGCGCAUGCAGGUGGUUUGUUAAGUCAGAUGUGAAAGCCCGGGGCUCAACCUCGGAAUUGCAUUUGAAACUGGCAAACUAGAGUACUGUAGAGGGGGGUAGAAUUUCAGGUGUAGCGGUGAAAUGCGUAGAGAUCUGAAGGAAUACCGGUGGCGAAGGCGGCCCCCUGGACAGAUACUGACACUCAGAUGCGAAAGCGUGGGGAGCAAACAGGAUUAGAUACCCUGGUAGUCCACGCCGUAAACGAUGUCUACUUGGAGGUUGUGGCCUUGAGCCGUGGCUUUCGGAGCUAACGCGUUAAGUAGACCGCCUGGGGAGUACGGUCGCAAGAUUAAAACUCAAAUGAAUUGACGGGGGCCCGCACAAGCGGUGGAGCAUGUGGUUUAAUUCGAUGCAACGCGAAGAACCUUACCUACUCUUGACAUCCAGAGAAUCCUACGGAGACGUGGGAGUGCCUUCGGGAACUCUGAGACAGGUGCUGCAUGGCUGUCGUCAGCUCGUGUUGUGAAAUGUUGGGUUAAGUCCCGCAACGAGCGCAACCCUUAUCCUUGUUUGCCAGCACUUCGGGUGGGAACUCCAGGGAGACUGCCGGUGAUAAACCGGAGGAAGGUGGGGACGACGUCAAGUCAUCAUGGCCCUUACGAGUAGGGCUACACACGUGCUACAAUGGCGCAUACAGAGGGCGGCCAACUUGCGAAAGUGAGCGAAUCCCAAAAAGUGCGUCGUAGUCCGGAUUGGAGUCUGCAACUCGACUCCAUGAAGUCGGAAUCGCUAGUAAUCGUGGAUCAGAAUGCCACGGUGAAUACGUUCCCGGGCCUUGUACACACCGCCCGUCACACCAUGGGAGUGGGCUGCAAAAGAAGUGGGUAGUUUAACCUUCGGGAGGACGCUCACC
rnacentral:rRNA from 1 species